UCUUUUUCUCUAUAACUCUUCUCAUAUAAAGUUUUUCAUAUCUCUUCAUUUUUCUUUUUCUAGGGUGAAUAUAGUAGACACAUAGUGCAGACUUGGCAAACCACAUCAAAAAAAACAGAUAACUUUUCUAAAAUUAAUAUCUCACUCAAUACUGACACUAUGAAUGUGUCAAUAUGAUCAAAAUGCUGGAUUUUCAAUUCUCUACAACUUUCAUCAUAUAAACUUUUUCAUAUCUUCAAUAUUGACUGACAAUGUAGUGGGUACAAGGAAGUGCGGUGUAUGGUGUUUAUGGUUUACCCUACCUUUGGUAUGGACCUUCUCCAAAAAUCGUGGGUACAUGUACAUGUACAGUACAUGUCAGGAAUAGAAGGUAGGGUGAUGUGGUUGCCCUUGGACAAAAAUUUUAAAUGCUAGUCCAGCCUUCACAGGUUGGGCGACACGCUCAAAUUGCGGGAAACUUCUAAAGCCUUCACUACCAAGCUGUGUUUCGAAAGAACAUGAUGACCAGAUUAAUUGCCUCGGGUAUGGUCAAAACGUGGAGGAUGCUACAAUGAACAAUCUGCAGCCAAGCCUCUAAGUUCAGCGCUUCAGUGCUGAAUAUGGCGAAGGUUCAGAGACUAAAUGGGUGUGGGUGUGUCACUUGGGAGAUUAAUUACCAAGUGACAAGCUUAAGAUAUCCAUGGAUAGUCCGGCCCCAGUAGAAAUGCUGGGGAUCAGGUCCUACCUGUAAUAAUAAUGAGAGCCUGUGGCUUAAUUUGACUCAACACAGGGAAACUCACCAGGUCCAGACAAAAUAAGGACUGACAGAUUGAGAGCUCUUUCUUGAUCUUUUGAAUGGUGGUGCAUGGCCGUUCUUAGUUGGUGAAGUGAUUUGUCUGCUUAAUUGUGAUAAUGAAUGAGACCUUAACCUGCUAAAUAGCCCGGCUCGCGUUUGCAGGCCGCUGGCUUCUUAGAGGGACUAUCGGCUCAAGCCGAUGGAAGUUUGAGGCAAUAACAGGUCUGUGAUGCUCUUAGAUGUUCUGGGCCGCACGCGCGCUACACUGACAGGGCCAGCGAGUACAUCACCUUGGCUGAGAGGUCUGGGUAAUCUUGUUAAACCCUGUCGUGCUGGGGAUAGAGCAUUGCAAUUAUUGCUCUUCAACGAGGAAUGCCUAGUAGGCACAAGUCAUCAGCUUGUGCCGAUUACGUCCCUGCCCUUUGUACACACCGCCCGUCGCUACUACCGAUUGAAUGGCUCAGUGAGGCCUUCGGACUGGCUCAGGGGGGUUGGCAACGACCGCCCAGAGCCGGAAAGUUGGUCAAACUUGGUCAUUUAGAGGAAGUAAAAGUCGUAACAAGGUUUCCGUAGGUGAACCUGCGGAAGGAUCAUUA
rfam:Emmonsia crescens TAMH 3008 supercont1.1258, whole genome shotgun sequence.